GGUCAGGACGAACGCUGGCGGCGUGCCUAACACAUGCAAGUCGAGCGAGGAGAUCCUUCGGGAUGAUCCUAGCGGCGGACGGGUGAGUAACACGUGGGCAACCUGCCUCAUAGAGAGGAAUAGCCUUCCGAAAGGGAGAUUAAUACCUCAUAACAUUGCAGUUUCGCAUGGAACAGCAAUUAAAGGAGUAAUCCGCUAUGAGAUGGGCCCGCGGCGCAUUAGCUAGUUGGUGAGGUAACGGCUCACCAAGGCGACGAUGCGUAGCCGACCUGAGAGGGUGAUCGGCCACAUUGGGACUGAGACACGGCCCAGACUCCUACGGGAGGCAGCAGUGGGGAAUAUUGCACAAUGGGGGAAACCCUGAUGCCAGCAACGCCGCGUGAGUGAUGACGGCCUUCGGGUUGUAAAGCUCUGUCUUCAGGGACGAUAAUGACGGUACCUGAGGAGGAAGCCACGGCUAACUACGUGCCAGCCGCCGC
rnacentral:rRNA from 1 species